UACGUAGGGGGCAAGCGUUGUCCGGAAUCAUUGGGCGUAAAGAGCGUGUAGGCGGCCCGAUAAGUCCGCUGUGAAAGUCCAGGGCUCAACCCUGGAAUGCCGGUGGAUACUGUCGGGCUCGAAUCCGGAAGAGGUGAGUGGAAUUCCUGGUGUAGCGGUGAAAUGCGCAGAUAUCAGGAAGAACACCCGUGGCUAAGGCGGCUCUCUGGGCCGUAACUGACGCUGAGGAGCGAAAGCAUGGGGAGCGAACAGG
rnacentral:rRNA from 1 species